rnacentral:lncRNA from 1 species
AGCAAUCAGCGAGACUCCGUGGGCGUAGGACCCUCCGAGCCAGGUGCGGGAUAUAAUCUCGUCGUGCGCCAUUUUUUAAGCCCGUCGGAAAUGCGCAGUAUUCGGGUGGGAGUGACCCGAUUUUCCAGGUGCCGUCCGUCACCCCUUUCUUUGAUUAGGAAAGGGAACUCCCUGACCCCUAGCACUUCCCGAGUGAGGCAAUGCCUCGCCCUGCUUCGGCUCGCGCACGGUGCGCACCCACUGACCUGCGCCCACUGUCUGGCGCUCCCUAGUGAGAUGAACCCGGUACCUCAGAUGGAAAUGCAGAAAUCACCCGUCUUCUGCGUCGCUCAGGCUGAUUGCUGCAGACCGGAGCUGUUCCUAUUCGGCCAUCUUGCCUCCUCCCCCGGAAUUUUCUUAAUUGACCCUGGGCCAGGGAAAGAAAUGAAUGAAGAUGCCACCUUAUGCCCAGAACACAUCUCUCAUUCAAUGAUAAAGGAUUUGUGGUUGGGUCAACUUUUGUGAUGCUCAACUCUUUCCUUCGUAAGGACGGGCUCUUUCUCAGGAGGCUUUUGUACUCCCAAUUAACGCACUGCUGUAAGUUUGCCAUAUCAUUAUGUAACACAUACCUGGAUGUGUUUGAACUCUGUCUCAGGAUGAAGCUAUGAUGUCCCAUUGCAAUUGUUUUGAAAUCUGCUUCCUGUAUCCAGAGAGAGGGGCAUUAAGAUCCCAGAGAUACGUAGUUAAACAUAACCUGCAUAUCAGCUGCUCUUCAUUGCAAAAUGUCUGUGUUUGCACAUAAUACCUUAAUGUUUUCAGCUUCAGCUCACUUCAACAUAGACAUUUAUGGGAUCUUUUCAAACCUAUCCUUCUCCAUUUAUUCACACCACAAAAUCUAGUGAUCGGCAUAGACCCUGAUAAAACUUUUGUAGGGAGAAUGAGGAUGGGGCUUAUAUUGCAUAAUAUAUUAAUCUAACUUCAGCUAUGUUGUGAUAAUAAAUAAACCUUCAGAUCUUAAUGACUUUGUAUAAACAAUAAGUAUUUCUCUCCCAUGCAGAAUCUGAUGAAGCUCUAUUUUGUAGCUAUGCCAUCUGGAUCACAUAGCCUCCAAGGCCAGCAGAGCAGAGGAAGACAAAGAGCAGAGCAAGAUAGAGGUGGAAGUUACACGUCCUUUGUGCUUACUUUCUACUGGCCUCAUCGGGUCGCAAGAUCCCACUCUGAUAGGUGCAUGGGGGCUUGGAAAAUUAGAAAAACAUGUGAAUAUUUGGUAGGCACUUACAAUCUCUGCCAGCAUCUGCCCUUCUAAUCAGCAAAUUUUCAAUUACUUUUUUCUUCACCCACAUAAGACAUCUUAAUCCAACCUCAGGGGACACAUCCUGAUGUCCAAUCUAGUCACUACUUCAAGCUUAAUGGGAUACAUGGGCCUCUCUGUCAUGUCUGCAUGAGGCUCUUCUUGAUCAGUUGACCUAUGAACUGAAAGAAAGCAUAUAUCGUUGUCCUCCACUGUCUAUAUCACUGCAUACAGAGUGGUGGAAAGGAACAGAAUAACGAUGGUAUACAUUCCUAUUUGAAAGGGGAUGAUUAGAGACACAAAACAAUGAUAACAUCUCACUGGUCAGACAUGGUGAAAGUUCCCCUGUGCAGGGGAUGGUAAAUGUUCCUUAAUUAGGCCUUGGUUCUGGUCCUCGAGAGGCAUUCUUUUAUCCAUUGUCCUCUAUGGCUGUAAUCUGUGCCCUCCAAGAUAUUCUUUCUUUUCCAUUACUCUCUGAAGUGGUUGAGGGGGAAUACGUCUUCCUUUGGGGCUGCACGGUUUUCUCAGCAAACUUCUUUCCCACAGAACAUUGGCAGCUUAAGGGUUAUAAGUCUCAAAAUGUCAGUGGCUUUUUUUAGUCCAGGCUCAUGAUUUAUUUAACAAUGCAUUUCCCUCAAACACACAGUAGGCUUCUGAUCUAUUUGCUUUAAAUAACUUUCAUGUGGUAGUAACCACACCUAAAGUUCUUUUCUAGGCAUAAUUCUAAAAUCUGCUUUGUUUCGUUGCUUUCUCACUUCUGUGCAUUUCUCUCUCUUCUAUAUGGGGGCUGUGUUGAAGAUGUCUGACUAAGAGGUAGAAAGUUCACACACUUAAUCUGUUUACACUCUUAAUUGAUUCUCAUCCUAAGUCAUUUCAUCCAAUGGGGACAUUUCACUGUGAUUUUGUGGCAGUCUUUUGAGAUGCCAAGUCUUCCUGUUUAGAGCCUAGAAGUAGUCACUGUUCCAACUUAGAAACUUCCAAAUUUCUGAACGAUUUUUAUUCCUUUCAUUUCUGUUUGCAAGCCAGCCAGGGUUUUCCUGAGCUUAUUUCAUUAUUGUAAUCCUCUGCCAAAUACAGCCAACAUUCACUUUCAACAUUGUUUCCCUAAGUCGUUGGACUCAGAAGCCCCACAGUCUGCCUCCCAAAUUACCACAGGAUUUUAAUUUUUGCCAAAUGGUUUCCUACUGCUUAAAAUGGAUUGCCAUUUUUUCCAGCCUCUAACAUUGGAUUCUUCACUGCCCUCUGCCUAAUUACUAAGUCAUUGCUACACGUUUCAGGUUUCUUUGUGUUGGCCUCUUAUCACUGAUAAAAAUUCUGAAUUUGUUAGGAUAGGCUAGACUAUGCUGUGAAAACAAAUAUCCCCAUUUCAAUUCACUUGCUGAACAAAAUGAAGUUAUCUUUUUUGUUCACACAAAAUCUCCAGGUUCCCGUCUGAUUUCACUUUGGGCUGUGGUUGUGAGUAUUGGAGAAGUAUAAAUUGUGGGGCAAAUGGAAAGGAAGUUCAAGGUGACAUUUUGCUUAGCAAACUCGAAGUGUAUGUUGGUAUUAUUGCUUAGGUAUGGUAUAUUUAUUUGUAUGUUUACAUAGUGUGACUGCCUAAUGGCAUUAAAAAAAUCUAUAGUGCAUGGUUCACUGUUUUCCCUUCGCUGAGAAGAGCAAUGAGUAAGAAUAGAAAUAGGAAUAUAUUUUAUCUGAUGAACCAGGGUGAAAAUUAGCAAAAAAUUUGUGACAGUGGAUAUAUAAAAUAAAAUUUCCCCUUAAGUUAUAUAAUCAUGUUUACACUUUUUGCAUAUGUAACUAAAUGAAUGUAUACUUUCUUCUAGUGGCUUACUGGUAGAAAAUAAACACAGAUGUUUUUGUUUUAUAUUU